CCGGAGGCUGCCUUGUUCUGCUCGGCUCAGCCAGAGCGCUGCUUCAACGAAAAUUUCCACAACAACACAAGCUUUGCAGGAGUGCGGCGCGAUAACAACGGCCACUUCGCGCCGCGAUGCAGCGCCCCACGCCAAAGAAGUCGUGAUCACACCGCAGGGCGAGACGGUUUCCCCGGGUGGACGGCAUUCACGGUGCAGGACAUGCCUCGAAAUAAAUUCUGAAUGAUUGAAGAUUGCGGGCGGAGGGGUGACAACAUGGCAGACAGAAGGCAGCUGUAUGUCGAGAUGAGGGCACAGGAUUUGGAUUCAAUAAGAUUAUCAACGUACAGAACAGCCUGCAAACUCCGAUUUGUGCAGAAGAAAUGCAACCUGCAUUUGGUUGACAUUUGGAACGUCAUUGAGGCUUUCCGAGAAAAUGGUCUGAACACCAUGGAUCUCAAUUCUGAGCUGGCUGUGGCUCGUCUGGAAGUGGUACUUUCCACCUUGUUCUUCCAACUUAACAAGCGAAUGCCAACCACUCACCAAAUCAAUGUAGAGCAGUCCGUCGGCCUGCUACUCAACUUCCUGCUGGCAGCCUACGACCCGGAAGGCCAUGGCAAAAUAUCUGUUUUUGUUGUGAAGAUGGCGCUUGCCUCAAUCUGCGGAGGGAAAAUUCUGGAUAAAUUGAGAUAUAUAUUUUCGCAGAUAUCGGAUUCUGCUGGAAUAAUGGUGCACUCGCAGUUUGACCAAUUUUUGCGAGAGGUUCUCAAAUUGCCCAUGGCUGUGUUUGAGGGACCUUCUUUUGGCUACACUGAGCAAGCUGCACGAGCAUGUUUCACUCAGCAGAAAAAGGUCUCCCUCAACACAUUCCUUGAUACGCUGAUGUCAGACCCGCCCCCUCAGUGUUUGGUGUGGCUACCUCUCAUGCAUCGGCUUGCCAACGUUGAGAAUGUGUUUCACCCGGUCGAGUGCUCCUACUGCCAUACUGAGAGUAUGAUGGGCUUCCGCUACCGCUGCCAGCAAUGUCAUAAUUACCAGCUCUGUCAGGACUGCUUCUGGAGGGGGCAUGCCAGCGGCUCCCAUAGCAACCAGCACCAAAUGAAGGAGUAUACGUCAUGGAAAUCCCCAGCUAAGAAGUUAACCCAUGUCCUCAGUAAGUCACUGAGCUGUGCCUCCAGCAGAGAGCCCCUGCACCCCAUGUUCCCCGAUACGCCAGAGAAACCUCUCAACCUAGCUCAUGUUGUGCCACCAAGACCAGUAAAUAUAACCAACGACUACUCACUGUCCCACUCCAUGCCUACAUCAGGGAACCCUUACUCCACCAAAAACCAGAAUAAUGAUGCUGGCCAAAAAAAGUCUUGGUUUGGGGUUGCUCCACAGCUGUUAAAAGGGAAAGGGUUAAAGUACAACCUCGACGUUGCUGAUAGACUUGCUGACGAGCAUGUUCUCAUUGCCCUCUAUGUGAAUCUGCUCCAAAACAGCCCCAAAUUAUGUUUGCUGGAAAGCAGUAACCAUCAAGAUGAGGAGCACAGUCUCAUUGCUCGCUACGCUGCUAGACUGGCUGCUGAUGCUGCGGUUCAACAGCAAAGGGUCCCCAUAGACCUUCCCUACUCUCUGGAUGCCAACAAACAACAGAGGCAGCUCAUUGCAGAGUUGGAGAGCAAAAACAGAGAAAUCCUGCAGGAAAUCCAGAGACUGCGUCUUCAGCAUGAGGAGGCUUCCCAGCCGCCUCCAGACAGGGGCCAACAAAACCCCACCCUCCUCGCCGAACUGCGACUUCUCAGGCAACGCAAAGAUGAGCUCGAACAAAGAAUGUCUACUCUGCAGGAGAGUCGCAGGGAGCUCAUGGUGCAGCUGGAGCAGCUAAUGAUGCUUCUCAAGCUAGAAGAAGAACAGAAACAAGCAAGUACUCAGGGUCCCGGCUCGCCACGCUCUUCUCCCAGCCACACCAUCAGCCGGCCGAUCCCCACGCCAAUCCACUCGGACUCUGCUGGCACCACUCCGACUCACACACCUCAGGACUCACUCAUGGGCGUGGGAGGGGAUGUUCAAGAGGCCUUCGCUCAGGGUCCCAGGAGAAAUUUGAGGAACGACCUUCUCAUUGCUGCUGACUCCAUAACCAAUACUAUGUCAUCACUUGUGAAGGAGCUCAAUUCAGAAGGUGGUAGUGAGACAGAGAGCCUCUUGGAUUCAGACUUUGGACAGUGUGACCUAAUGGCUGCAGCUUCCUCAGAUUUUUACUUCACUUAUAAACCAAGUAUCAGACCUACUAGAGCUGCAGAAGAAGAAACUUUUGAAAACAAUCUGGACCAGCAGCUAGAAGAGGAGCUCAAGUUGGAGGAGCUGGUAAAGCACAGGCAAGAGACAGACAAAACGUGCUUGGUGACAAUGGAGCAGUGAUUGUGAAAGUCCAGAUGACUGGUAAGCAACAAUAGUAGAAGACACUGGAAGAAGCAACACUGGGCCGAAGACAUGCAGCAUUGAAGACAUGAAGAAUUAAACCUGCGCUAAACCCAACCAUAGAAAUACUACAUUUAUGUAAAGCUAUAUUUUUUAUCCAAGCACAUAUUUAAGAAUGGCACACUUCAAUUGGCUCGGUUUGACUCUGCACAUUUAUUAUCUGUCAUAAAUGCACCGUUGGCUACCCUCAACCUAUUGUCUAUAAUUCAUCACCAAGACUCACCAUGUGAAGAAACAUAAAUGCAGUCAUCUGAAACAGAAUCUCAUAGCUCUGUGAAUAUACUGAGUUGUUAUCUUCAUGACUUGGGCAGUAAUAAAAUGUACAAUUAUCAUU